UGGGGAAUAUUGCACAAUGGGCGAAAGCCUGAUGCAGCAACGCCGCGUGAGUGAUGAAGGCCUUCGGGUUGUAAAGCUCUGUCUUUUGGGACGAUAAUGACGGUACCAAAGGAGGAAGCCACGGCUAACUACGUGCCAGCAGCCGCGGUAAUACGUAGGUGGCAAGCGUUGUCCGGAUUUACUGGGCGUAAAGGAUGCGUAGGCGGAUUUUUAAGUGAGAUGUGAAAUACCCGGGCUUAACUUGGGUGCUGCAUUUCAAACUGGGAAUCUAGAGUGCGGGAGAGGAGAAUGGAAUUCCUAGUGUAGCGGUGAAAGUGCGUAGAGAUUAGGAAGAACACCAGUGGCGAAGGCGAUUCUCUGGACCGUAACUGACGCUGAGGCAUGAAAGCGUGGGUAGCAAACAGGAUUAGAUACCCUGGUAGUCCACGCCGUAAACGAUGAGUACUAGGUGUAGGAGGUAUCGACCCCUUCUGUGCCGCAGUUAACACAAUCAAGUACUCCGCCUGGGAAGUACGAUCGCAAGAUUAAAACUCAAAGGAAUUGAC
rnacentral:rRNA from 1 species